ACGCUCGACACCUACGGGAGGUAGCAGUGGGGAAUAUUGCACAAUGGGGGAAACCCUGAUGCAGCAACGCCGCGUGAAGGAAGACGGUUUUCGGAUUGUAAACUUCUGUUCUUAGUGAAGAUAGUGACGGUAGCUAAGGAGCAAGCCACGGCUAACUACGUGCCAACAGCCGCGGUAAUCUGAGCGGGCUGGCAAGGC
rnacentral:rRNA from 1 species